rnacentral:rRNA from 1 species
GAUGAACGCUAGCUACAGGCUUAACACAUGCAAGUCGAGGGGAAACGACAUCGAAAGCUUGCUUUUGAUGGGCGUCGACCGGCGCACGGGUGAGUAACGCGUAUCCAACCUGCCUACCACUUGGGGAUAACCUUGCGAAAGUAAGACUAAUACCCAAUGAUAUCUCUAGAAGACAUCUGAAAGAGAUUAAAGAUUUAUCGGUGAUGGAUGGGGAUGCGUCUGAUUAGCUUGUUGGCGGGGUAACGGCCCACCAAGGCUACGAUCAGUAGGGGUUCUGAGAGGAAGGUCCCACACAUUGGAACUGAGACACGGUCCAAACUCCUACGGGAGGCAGCAGUGAGGAAUAUUGGUCAAUGGGCGAGAGCCUGAACCAGCCAAGUAGCGUGCAGGAUGACGGCCCUAUGGGUUGUAAACUGCUUUUAUAAGGGAAUAAAGUGAGCCUCGUGAGGCUUUUUGCAUGUACCUUAUGAAUAAGGACCGGCUAAUUCCGUGCCAGCAGCCGCGGUAAAAC